UAGCGAGGAGAAACCAUGGAUAGGGUUUUUCAAGCUUCCAAGCUCGAUUGUAAGUCCAUUCUAGCCUCGUUUUUAAUGAUUUUUACGUUUUUGGAGUCUCGGUAGCUCGAUUUAGCUUAUGCUAGCAAUAAUUUAACCUAGGGUUUAUAUUUGGAAAAAUACCCAUAGGUGAAAUUUGUGUAUUUUGGUGUUUUAUGAUAGAAUAUGAGGUUUUCAAUUAUGUUAGACAACUUGUGCUACUCGAUUUUAAGUGAAAACGAGCAAAAGGGCUUAAUCGGUAAAAAUACCUAAUAGUCAUAAGUACAUGUUAGAGUGAGAAUUUGAUGGUGCCAUAGAAGGGAAAAAUGAUCAGCAUGUCAUAAAACAUAAGAAAAUAGGAUGAAGUUUAAUUUACGAGCUUUGGGGCAAAAGUGUAAAUAUGUGAAAGUUUAGGGGCAAAAUUGUAAUUUUUCCAAAAUAUGAUUUUGGGUCAAUUUGAAUAAUGUGAGUCCUAAUUAGACUAUAUUUUAAAUGAUAGAGCAAGGAAAACUGAAAUUCAGGCUAAAAUGGGGAAAAUACCAAGUUGUGGAUGAAAUGGUAAAAGUAGCCAUUUUCGCAUACGAGGUAAGUUCAUAUGUAAAUGUUGGUAACAUAGUUAUUGUUUUAAAUGUUUUAAUGUUAUUUAAAUGAUAUGAUAAUUUUUAUGAAAUAUCAUACUUGUGACAAUUGUUUGAUAAUAUGUCAAAUUAUGUGAUAUACUUGGAAAAUGUGAAAUACUACCAAGUAUCGGUAUCGACAUUCUGUAGAAGAUGGUUGAGACACAUGAUUGGGAAAAUGGUCCCGUUGAACCUUAGGAAUGGAUUAGGAUACAAGUGACAUGCCACUGGGAUAUUUGGGCAUCAGAGCUCGUUGAGUUGAGUCCGAGUUCGCUUAUGGAUGCGAAUGUCCGAACUCGUUGAGUUGAGUCCGAGUUCGUGAGAUGUAACUAGGCAUCCGAGCUAGUUGAGUUGAGUCCGAGUUCACUUAUGGAUGCGAACGCCCGAGCUCGUUGAGUUGAGUCCGAGUUCGCUUAUGGGCGGGUUACAUGGUAGCUUGGCUACAUAUGUGGCACUUAUGUGCAAACUUUCCAUGUAUCCGAAUUAUAUUCCGAUGUGUUCAACGGGUAAAGUUCUACUCAAAUGGAGGAAUACUCAAGAUGAAAGGGACGUAUUGGUAAGUGUUGUGAAAUGGAUACGUUGAACAGGUAUGUACUUAACCCUCGGGUUGAAAAAUCGAUAUAACAACAAUAUGGUAAGAUGAUAAAUGAAAAUAUGAUAUGAAUGUCUUGGUGAUGAUUAUGAAAAUGAUGUUUUAUGUUUGCUUAUAUGGUUAUGUUACUUGCUAUUUGCAUGUGAACUUAUUAAUCAUUUAUGCGUACUCCCUCCUUUUCAUUCCUUGUAGUUUUGACAAGCCAGCUCGAAAAUCGGGAACGGUCGGAAGCUCGCUCACACUAUCCGUAUACCAUCUUGGCAUAAUGGCUUAUAUAUUUUGAGUAUGGCAUGUAUAGCAUUAUAAUCAUUUUGUAUAUAUGGUCUUAUGAUAUGGUUAUUGAGUGGUAUGGAAAUGCUUGGUAAUGAUUAGCCAUUGGAAUGGCUAAUCAUG
rnacentral:lncRNA from 1 species